rnacentral:misc_RNA from 1 species
GAUGAAGAACGCAGCGAAAUGCGAUAAGUAAUGUGAAUUGCAGAAUUCAGUGAAUCAUCGAAUCUUUGAACGCACAUUGCGCCCGCCAGUAUUCUGGCGGGCAUGCCUGUUCGAGCGUCGUUUCAACCCUCAAGCACAGCUUGGUGUUGGGACUCGCGUUAAUUCGCGUUCCUCAAAUUGAUUGGCGGUCACGUCGAGCUUCCAUAGCGUAGUAGUAAAACCCUCGUUACUGGUAAUCGUCGCGGCCACGCCGUUAAACCCCAACUUCUGAAUGUUGACCUCGGAUCAGGUAGGAAUACCCGCUGAACUUAAGCAUAUCAAUAAGCGGAGGA